CCUACGGGAGACAGCAGUGAGGAAUAUUGGUCAAUGGACGAGAGUCUGAACCAGCCAAGUAGCGUGAAGGAUGCCUGCCCUAUGGGUUGUAAACUUCUUUUAUCUGGGAAUAAAAUGUUCCACGUGUGGGAUUUUGUAUGUACCAUAUGAAUAAGGUUCGGCUAACUCCGUGCCAGCAGCUGCGGUAAUACUGAGGAGCCGAGCUUUACCCGGAUUUAUUGGGUUUAAAGGGAGCGUAGGUGGAUUGUUAAGUCAGUUGUGAAAGUGUGCGGCUCAACCGUAAAAUUGCAGUUGAAACUGGCAGUCUGGAGUACAGUAGAGGUGGGCGGAAUUCGUGGUGUAGCGGUGAAAUGCUUAGAUAUCACGAAGAACUCCGAUUGCGAAGGCAGCUCACUGGACUGCAACUGACACUCAGGCUCGAAAGUGUGGGUAUCAAACAGGAUUAGAUACCCCAGUAGUC
rnacentral:rRNA from 1 species